GGUUCCCAAAUCUGAAGUAGAGCAGAUUAGUAGGAUCAGCUGACUAUACUAAUUUACUCUACUUCAAGUUUGUGCCC
rfam:Haemonchus placei strain MHpl1 genome assembly, scaffold: HPLM_scaffold0001999